rnacentral:lncRNA from 1 species
CAUAUAUUCACUUAGAAUGAUCUGAACAUGGGUCAAAGGUAUUGAAUAGAGCUCCUCAAGAAUUACGAUUAUACUAUUUUGUAUCACUGGGGCAAGGAUAAUGUAGUAGUUGAUGCGCCCAGCAAAAAAAAGUGCAGGUAUGUUAGCUCACAUUAUGGUUUUUGAAUGCAGGGUAAUAAGGGCCACAUAAUAAAUACGACUUUAG